CGAGUUCUCUUACUCGGUUAGUCAAAUAAUUGUCAUUUUUAACUCGCCUGAGCCUAAUUAAAUCAAAACAUUCUUACAAUAAAUGAAAUGAAAAGGGGAUGGUUUUAAGCCUUUAACUCUUCCCUUGUUUGUUUGAAUACGAGUUUUCUUACUUGGUCAGUUAGACACUCGUCAUUUCUUUACAAACUUCUAAACCCAAUUAAAUCAAAACACUUUCAUAAUAAGCGAAAUAAAAAAAAGGAGAUGACUUUGAGCCUUCGACUUCUCUCCUC
rnacentral:lncRNA from 1 species